AACGAACGCUGGCGGCAUGCCUAACACAUGCAAGUCGAACGAGACCUUCGGGUCUAGUUGCGCACGGGUGCGUAACGCGUGGGAACCUGCCCCUAGGUUCGGCAUAACUUCCCGCAAGGGGUACUAAUACCGGCUAAUGCCUUCGGACCAAAGUUUUAUCGCCCUCGUAUGUGCAGGCGUUGGAUUAGCUUGUUGGUAGGGUAAAAGCCUAUCAAGGCGACGAUACCUAGCUGGUCUGAGAGAAUGGUCAGCAACACUGGGACUGGGACACGGCCCAGACUCCUACGGGAGGGAGGAGAGGGGAAUAGUGGACCGUGGGGGGAGGGCUGAUGGAGCACGGCUGGGUGAGUGAUGAAGGCCUGAGGGUAGUAAAGCGCUUGUACCCGGGAUGGUAAUGACAGUACCUGAAGAAAAAGCCCCGGCUAACUCCGUG
rnacentral:rRNA from 1 species